CCCUAUUAUUUUGGAGUGUUAAAGUUUGUGCCUGAGUAGUAUUAGUUAUGUUCUUGAAACUUAAAGGAUUUGGCGGUAUCUCAUUCCGUUCAGAGGAAUCUGUCUCGUUAUCGAUAGUCCACGUUGGACCUUACUUAGUUGGGAAUAUGGUUUGUAUACCGCCGUUUAUUGAUUAUCUUUUUAGAGAUUGGUUGUUAAUUUUCUUGUUUCUUUAUUUUGAUUUAUUUCAGGUCAAGGUGCAGCUUGUUUCUAAGUGGAAAUGAUGGAUUACAUUGUUAUUUGUUUUGACUGGAUUGUUAAUUUUAAUAUUAGCAUGAAAUUGGAUUUGGUUGUAAUGGUUUGUAGAUUGUUAUUAUGAUAGUUGGUUCUGGGAUAUGUACACAUCGCCCGUCGCUCUCGUUUUAUUAUGGUGAGAUAAGUC
rnacentral:rRNA from 1 species